rnacentral:tRNA from 1 species
ACAUUGGUGGUUCGGUGGUAGAAUUCUCCUCUUCCAUGCAGAAGACCCGAGUUUGAUUUUUGGCCAAUGUA